AUAGAAAUAGGUAAUCAAUAUUAUUAUAUAUAUAAUAAUAUAUGUGAUGUAUGAUGCAGUAUACAUGAUAUAUAUAAUAUAUAUUACACGUAUUAUUAUAAGUUAGGCAGAAAGUUAAAGUAAUUUCAAAGCAAUUUUUGUUACCGAGAGUAAAUAUUAUAUAUUGAAUGCUAAGAAAAUGUAUCACUAGGGAUAUUAAAUAUUAGAGAAAAUGGAAGUAACUGCAGGGAUAUUGCUUCCUCUAGUGCUUAUUUAUUAUAUGAUGUAUUGUGACAUGCAGCACGAGUAUUAUCUGUUAUCCAUAGUACUAUAUCAUUGAGAAAAUUAAUUCUUUUCAUAUGUCAAGAUGAUCCACCAACAACAGACAACAAUGAAAAGCAUAGAACAACAGUAUCGGCAACAACUUAUAGUGACAUAGGUCUUCAAUUAUUUGUUGUUGUUUGUGUGAAGAUUGAAAUCAUGGUUUAUUCUAUAAAGAUUUAGAAUUAAGAGAUGAUUACAGAAGAAUAUCUUUGAAAGAUAAAGCGAAACAAGUAAAAUUGCCAUCUAGAAAUAUGGCAAAGAGUUGCCUUGGAGAUUUUUUCCUAAUCUGUUCAUAUAAAAAAUAAGCACAAUAUCAGUUUUGAAAAUACAAGCGAAGGAAACAAUAUUUCUUUGAGUUCACAUAAGUACUGUAUUAUAAUGAAUGAAAAUGAUAAUACAAUACGUAUUAUAAUAACUUGUUGCUAUUCUAUAUGAUUUGAUAAUUUUCAGUGUUCUCCUGUUGAUGUUAUAGGAAAACGUAGAGAAUGAAGAAAGUGAACAAACGUUAUUAUCUGUUAUACAUGCAUCUUUGAAAAAUAUCAAACAUUUAGUAGUGGAAAAUAUAUUUUACAUCAGUAGAAGUGAACUCUUUGUAUGCAAAAUGAGAUAUAGGCAUUUAUUUAAUUUGUAUAAAAUAUAUUUCUUAUCAUCUUUUAUAUUAUUUUGAAAUAUCAUACUUUGUCAUACCAGGCAAAAAUUAUCAUAAAGGUAACUUCAAUCUGAAGUUUAAAAAAAUAAACAUAUGUAAAUAUGUAAUAAAAUUAUUACAUAUCUUUCAUUGUAGAUAACAAAUUAUUAUUUAGUGUGUUGCUCAAUAAAUGUGAUGCAAAAAGUUUAAUGAUGAUAUGUGCUGUUAUAAUAAAAGAACAUUCAAUUUUAAAUCUGUAUACUAUGGUACUAAAUGCAAAAAACAACGGAUUUUAAUUGUAUAAAAUACCAUUUAGAAGCUUAUCUUUUAAAGUAUUUUAAUACCUGUAUAAAAAUGAGACAAAAUAGAUUUGAAAAAGAUUUGACAUUUAAUUUGAAUUAUACUAAAAAAUGUACAAAACAUUAGCGAAUAUUUUUCAGAUUAUAUGUUAUAUGAUAAUGGAAGAAAAUGUCAUAUCAAAUCAUAAAAAAAUUAAGUAUCGAAUAUAAUCUGAAAUUGCUUUCAAAUUGUAAACUACAAGUUCAACUUUAAAUUAUAAAAUUCCUAGCUUUAGAUUUGAAGAAACCUGUGCUUCUACCUAAUAAUACAUGUAGGUUAUAUUACAAGAUUGCACACAUUAAUAUUUGUACGAUACUUCAAUUUAAGAUUUUACUUUAGUUCUAAAAAUGAGCAUGCAUAAACCCAUAGGCGGUUUAGUAGACAAAUAUGAUAAAGUAUUCAUUGCAUAAAUAGACGAUGUAAGUAUUGUAAGUACUGAAGUACUGGAAAAGCGAACAAAGAGGACAAAAAUAUAAAUACUAUAAUUGACAUAUUUAUAUUCGUUAUGCAACUUUAUU